rnacentral:rRNA from 1 species
GACGAACGCUGGCGGCGUGCCUAAUACAUGCAAGUCGAACGCAGGGGGGACGGGUGAGUAACACGUGGGUAACCUUACAGCAGAGGGGAUAACACAUGGAAACAGGUGCUAAACCGAUACAGAUGGAUGGACCCGCGGUGCAUUAGCUAGUUGGUGAGGUAACGGCUCACCAAGGCCACGAUGCAUAGCCGGUCUGAGAGGGUGAUCGGCCACACUGGGACUGAGACACGGUCCAGACUCCUACGGGAGGCAGCAGUGGGGAAUAUUGCACAAUGGGCGCAAGCCUGAUGCAGCCAUGCCGCGUGUAUGAAGAAGGCCUUCGGGUUGUAAAGUACUUUCAGCGGGGAGGCGUUACCCGCAGAAGAAGCACCGGCUAACUCCGUGCCAGCAGCCGCGGUAAUAC